UACAGAGGUCUCAAGCGUUGUUCGGAUUCAUUGGGCGUAAAGGGUGCGUAGGCGGCGGCGUAAGUCGGGGUGUGAAAAUCCCAGGGCUCAACCCUGGAACUGCAUUCGAUACUGCGUCGCUGGAGGACUGGAGAGGAGACUGGAAUUCACGGUGUAGCAGUGAAAUGCGUAGAUAUCGUGAGGAAGGCCAGUGGCGAAGGCGAGUCUCUGGACAGUUCCUGACGCUGAGGCACGAAGGCCCAGGGGGAGCAAAACGGGG
rnacentral:rRNA from 1 species